AAAAAAAUAAGCUAAAAUAAGCUAAUGGGUUCAUACCCCAUUUAUAAAGGUUCUAAUCCUUUUUUUUUUA
rnacentral:tRNA from 1 species